rnacentral:rRNA from 1 species
AGUCGAGCGGAGUGAUGGUGCUUGCACUAUCACUUAGCGGCGGACGGGUGAGUAAUGCUUAGGAAUCUGCCUAUUAGUGGGGGACAACAUUUCGAAAGGAAUGCUAAUACCGCAUACGUCCUACGGGAGAAAGCAGGGGAUCUUCGGACCUUGCGCUAAUAGAUGAGCCUAAGUCGGAUUAGCUAGUUGGUGGGGUAAAGGCCUACCAAGGCGACGAUCUGUAGCGGGUCUGAGAGGAUGAUCCGCCACACUGGGACUGAGACACGGCCCAGACUCCUACGGGAGGCAGCAGUGGGGAAUAUUGGACAAUGGGCGCAAGCCUGAUCCAGCCAUGCCGCGUGUGUGAAGAAGGCCUUAUGGUUGUAAAGCACUUUAAGCGAGGAGGAGGCUACUGAAGUUAAUACCUUCAGAUAGUGGACGUUACUCGCAGAAUAAGCACCGGCUAACUCUGUGCCAGCAGCCGCGGUAAUACAGAGGGUGCAAGCGUUAAUCGGAUUUACUGGGCGUAAAGCGCGCGUAGGCGGCUAAUUAAGUCAAAUGUGAAAUCCCCGAGCUUAACUUGGGAAUUGCAUUCGAUACUGGUUAGCUAGAGUGUGGGAGAGGAUGGUAGAAUUCCAGGUGUAGCGGUGAAAUGCGUAGAGAUCUGGAGGAAUACCGAUGGCGAAGGCAGCCAUCUGGCCUAACACUGACGCUGAGGUGCGAAAGCAUGGGGAGCAAACAGGAUUAGAUACCCUGGUAGUCCAUGCCGUAAACGAUGUCUACUAGCCGUUGGGGCCUUUGAGGCUUUAGUGGCGCAGCUAACGCGAUAAGUAGACCGCCUGG